AUGUUCCUCUAUCUACUGUUAUUCAUUUCUGCACUUGUUGGAGUCAGUUACCAGGAAGAAAUUCAACCAAUCGCAAAGAUAAUGCAUGGUGAUGAAGGAGGCUUUGUAACACUGUCUUGCAACUACUCUGGUUCACCAUACAACCUCCAAUGGUAUCGUCAGUAUUCCAGAUCAGCUCCCAAAUUCCUUCUCCUCACUACAGUCUCCUCAAACCCCUCUGUAGUGAACGCUACUCCUCCAUACCCACGUCUGUCUAUUAAACUGAAUAAGGAGAGAACCCAUGUGGAUCUGGAGAUCUCCUCUGCUGUUGUAACAGACUCUGCUCUGUACUACUGCGCCUUGCAGCCCACAGUGACAGGAAACCCAGAAACACUGUACAAAAACCUGACAGCUCACGAUAAACUCUUCUUAUGCUUAUUUUAGGGAAAGGGUGGUGUUUACAACUGUCGGUUAAAAAAAAGUAAUUAUGUGCUCCUCAAUUAUUUUACUUUCUUCACUGACUAGUUAGUAAAUUACUGUAUUCCUAUAAUUAUCUUUAACAACAUUUUUUAGGAUAAUAUAUAGUUUAUCUGUAUUAUUGGAUUGUUGAGUAAACACCGAGAUCUUUCCUCCUUUCAAAUACAUCUACCUUGUGAUUUAUCCAUCACCUCAUCACAUUAGCAGGUGACAGAUUUCAGCAGACUAUCCAGCCAAACCAACAUGAAGUGUAUGGAGAGGAGGGUGGUAAUGUUCAACUUUCCUGCAUAUUCAUAUUUGUCGGUGGCAGUUAUCAGCAGACCAUCCAGACAAACUAACAUAAAGUUUAUGAAGAGGAGGGUAGUUUUGCUUACCUGAAACUACUCCUCAGCAUACAGUGAACUGUGGUAUAAACAGUAUCCAGGAUCAGUUCCCCAAGUCCUCCUCUUCAUCAUCCAUGCCUCUAGGACUGUAGUGAGAGCUAAACCUCCAUACUCUCACCUCACUGUUAAACUGAACAAAGAGAAGACCUAUACAGAUCUGGAGAUCUCCUCUGUUGAACUGCUCUAUACUACUGUACUGUAGAGCCACAAUGACAGGAAACUGAGAAACACUGUACAAAAACCAUACAACACUCUGCACUGUACUGCUGUGCUGUGACGUCCACAGUGACACAUAACUUAUUGACUCAACAGUGAGGUGCAUAUUUUGGACUUACAAGCAUCUGCUGUCUUCUGUUAGACCACAGUGCCAUCAAGUGGAUUCUCUAGUGAAUAAAUCUAAUAUAUAUGAAACAUCUUUGUUUCUACACUGUCAGUAGGAGGAGCUAGAGUAUACAACUCAGGAUUAGAUCAUGAAUCCUCAAGAUAAACAUGAUGCUACCAUGAAGAACAUAGCCAGUUGAUGCUGUGCUUUUCAUCAGCAGUUGGUGCUUAUUCAACACAUCCUGCCAUUGUACAUUGCCAUCUACAAGCUAUUUUAAAAUCGGACAUAGCGAGUGCAUAUAGGAGUUCUGUAUCUAUAAUUCUUAAAAUAAUUGUUAUGUUUUUUGUGAACGUUUAUCGUGAGUAAUUUAGUAAAUUCACCGGAAGUGUUCGGUGGGAAUGCUAGUCACAUGCUAGUCACCUGCUAAUGUAAAAAGCUGUUUUUUGAUAUAAAUAUGAACUUGAUUGAACAGACAUGCAUGUAUUGUAUAACAUAAUGUCCUAAGAUUGUCAUCUGAUGAAGAUCAUCAAAGGUUAGUGCUGCAUUUAGCUGUGGUUUGGGUUAAUGUGACAUUAUAUGCUAGCUUGAAAAAUGGGUGUCUGAUUAUUUCUGGCUGGGUACUCUGCUGACAUAAUCUAAUGUUUAGCUUUCGUUGUAAAGACUUUUUAAAAUCGGACAGUGUGGUUAGAUUAACGAGAGUCUUGUCUUUAAAUUGUUGUAAAAUAGUCAUAUGUUUGAGAAAUUGAAGUAAUAGCAUUUCUAAGGUAUUUGAAUAUCGCGCCACAGGAUUACACUGGCUGUUGAGUAGGUGGGACGCAAGCGUAACAAUUUGAAUACAGUGACAUUGCUUUUUUUCAAUGAGUGAUUACAUUAAAAACGAAGUGGUAUUUUACUGGAAAGUUUCAAUUCUUUCUCUUGUCAUACUUUAUGUACAUCUAAUGCAUGUAUUUUUUCUCUUUAGGAAUAAACAUUAACAGAAUGACAAUACUUAUGUUGUUGCAGCUGAUAGUAUGGAGCAGGAAACAAUAACUCCAGUGAAGCCUGAAGUCAAUGCUCUCCAAGGAACAGACAUCACUCUCUCCUGCAACUACAAGGGCAAUGUUAACUAUCUUCAAUGGUACCGUCAAUACCCCGGAUCCAGACCAGGAUUUCUUCUUUUGAUCCUACAAAGCAGCAUGUACAUACAGAAUACAUCAAUUACGACUCCACGACACACUGGUUCACUGAAUGAAGAGAAGACCCGUGUUGACUUGAUGAUCUCAUGUUGAAUUGGAAGACUCUUCUCUGUACCACUGCGCCUUGCAGCCCACAGUGACAGGAAACCCAGACACACUGUACAAAAACCUGUCAAGACCCUUGGGGGUGAACAGUGCAUUGUGUUCUGAUCAAUCAGUUAUUAUUUAGAGUACAUUAAUACAUAUAUUUUUUCCUGUAUCUCAACAUUAAAACACAUUUAAUAUAAAUAUUAUUCAGGAAAUAAUAAUUAAUAUUUUCCUCAUCUUCCUGUUCUGAUAUAACAUGAUCAAAGAUACUAGUCUGAAUAAAUAUAGAAUGAAGAACGUUUGUG
ensembl:lncRNA